rnacentral:misc_RNA from 1 species
UCUCCGUUGGUGAACCAGCGGAGGGAUCAUUACAGGACUCGCAAGACUCCUACAACCCUGUGAACUUAACUAUAAGCACGUUGCUUCGGCGGGUGUCUCGGAGGGGGUUCUCCCUCCCCGAGACGCUAAACCCGCCGGCAGCCUACUAUACUCUGUCUCUUUGCGUUGGCAUCUCGAGUACAAUCAAACAAGUUAAAACUUUCAACAACGGAUCUCUUGGCUCUU